GAUGAACGCUGGCGGCGUGCCUAAUACAUGCAAGUCGAGCGAACGGACGAGAAGCUUGCUUCUCUGAUGUUAGCGGCGGACGGGUGAGUAACACGUGGAUAACCUACCUAUAAGACUGGGAUAACUUCGGGAAACCGGAGCUAAUACCGGAUAAUAUUUUGAACCGCAUGGUUCAAAAGUGAAAGACGGUCUUGCUGUCACUUAUAGAUGGAUCCGCGCUGCAUUAGCUAGUUGGUAAGGUAACGGCUUACCAAGGCAACGAUGCAUAGCCGACCUGAGAGGGUGAUCGGCCACACUGGAACUGAGACACGGUCCAGACUCCUACGGGAGGCAGCAGUAGGGAAUCUUCCGCAAUGGGCGAAAGCCUGACGGAGCAACGCCGCGUGAGUGAUGAAGGUCUUCGGAUCGUAAAACUCUGUUAUUAGGGAAGAACAUAUGUGUAAGUAACUGUGCACAUCUUGACGGUACCUAAUCAGAAAGCCACGGCUAACUACGUGCCAGCAGCCGCGGUAAUACGUAGGUGGCAAGCGUUAUCCGGAAUUAUUGGGCGUAAAGCGCGCGUAGGCGGUUUUUUAAGUCUGAUGUGAAAGCCCACGGCUCAACCGUGGAGGGUCAUUGGAAACUGGAAAACUUGAGUGCAGAAGAGGAAAGUGGAAUUCCAUGUGUAGCGGUGAAAUGCGCAGAGAUAUGGAGGAACACCAGUGGCGAAGGCGACUUUCUGGUCUGUAACUGACGCUGAUGUGCGAAAGCGUGGGGAUCAAACAGGAUUAGAUACCCUGGUAGUCCACGCCGUAAACGAUGAGUGCUAAGUGUUAGGGGGUUUCCGCCCCUUAGUGCUGCAGCUAACGCAUUAAGCACUCCGCCUGGGGAGUACGACCGCAAGGUUGAAACUCAAAGGAAUUGACGGGGACCCGCACAAGCGGUGGAGCAUGUGGUUUAAUUCGAAGCAACGCGAAGAACCUUACCAAAUCUUGACAUCCUUUGACAACUCUAGAGAUAGAGCCUUCCCCUUCGGGGGACAAAGUGACAGGUGGUGCAUGGUUGUCGUCAGCUCGUGUCGUGAGAUGUUGGGUUAAGUCCCGCAACGAGCGCAACCCUUAAGCUUAGUUGCCAUCAUUAAGUUGGGCACUCUAAGUUGACUGCCGGUGANCAACCGGAGGAAGGUGGGGAUGACGUCAAAUCAUCAUGCCCCUUAUGAUUUGGGCUACACACGUGCUACAAUGGACAAUACAAAGGGCAGCGAAACCGCGAGGUCAAGCAAAUCCCAUAAAGUUGUUCUCAGUUCGGAUUGUAGUCUGCCACUCGACUACAUGAAGCUGGAAUCGCUAGUAAUCGUAGAUCAGCAUGCUACGGUGAAUACGUUCCCGGGUCU
rnacentral:rRNA from 1 species